AUUGAACGCUGGCGGCAUGCUUUACACAUGCAAGUCGGACGGCAGCACAGAGAAGCUUGCUUCUUGGGUGGCGAGUGGCGUACGGGUGAGUAAUAUAUCGGAACGUACCGAGUAAUGGGGGAUAACUAAUCGAAAGAUUAGCUAAUACCGCAUAUUCUCUGAGGAGGAAAGCAGGGGACCUUCGGGCCUUGCGUUAUUCGAGCGGCCGAUAUCUGAUUAGCUAGUUGGUGGGGUAAAGGCCUACCAAGGCGACGAUCAGUAGCGGGUCUGAGAGGAUGAUCCGCCACACUGGGACUGAGACACGGCCCAGACUCCUACGGGAGGCAGCAGUGGGGAAUUUUGGACAAUGGGCGCAAGCCUGAUCCAGCCAUGCCGCGUGUCUGAAGAAGGCCUUCGGGUUGUAAAGGACUUUUGUCAGGGAAGAAAAGGCUGUUGCUAAUACCGACAGCUGAUGACGGUACCUGAAGAAUAAGCACCGGCUAACUACGUG
rnacentral:rRNA from 1 species